GGAAUUAUUGGGCGUAAAGAGCUCGUAGGCGGUUUGUCGCGUCUGCCGUGAAAGUCCGGGGCUCAACUCCGGAUCUGCGGUGGGUACGGGCAGACUAGAGUGAUGUAGGGGAGACUGGAAUUCCUGGUGUAGCGGUGAAAUGCGCAGAUAUCAGGAGGAACACCGAUGGCGAAGGCAGGUCUCUGGGCAUUAACUGACGCUGAGGAGCGAAAGCAUGGGGAGCGAACAGGAUUAGAUACCCUGGUAGUCCAUGCCGUAAACGUUGGGCACUAGGUGUGGGGGACAUUCCACGUUUUCCGCGCCGUAGCUAACGCAUUAAGUGCCCCGCCUGGGGAGUACGGCCGCAAGGCUAAAACUCAAAGGAAUUGACGGGGGCCCGCACAAGCGGCGGAGCAUGCGGAUUAAUUCGAUGCAACGCGAAGAACCUUACCAAGGCUUGACAUGGACUGGAAAUACCUGGAAACAGGUGCCCCGCUUGCGGCCGGUUCACAGGUGGUGCAUGGUUGUCGUCAGCUCGUGUCGUGAGAUGUUGGGUUAAGUCCCGCAACGAGCGCAACCCUCGUUCUAUGUUGCCAGCACGUGAUGGUGGGGACUCAUAGGAGACUGCCGGGGUCAACUCGGAGGAAGGUGGGGACGACGUCAAAUCAUCAUGCCCCUUAUGUCUUGGGCUUCACGCAUGCUACAAUGGCCGGUACAAAGGGUUGCGAUACUGUGAGGUGGAGCUAAUCCCAAAAAGCCGGUCUCAGUUCGGAUUGGGGUCUGCAACUCGACCCCAUGAAGUCGGAGUCGCUAGUAAUCGCAGAUCAGCAACGCUGCGGUGAAUACGUUCCCGGGCCUUGUACACACCGCCCGUCAAGUCACGAAAGUUGGUAACACCCGAAGCCGGUGGCCUAACCCCUUGGGGAGGGAG
rnacentral:rRNA from 1 species